UUUCAAAUCAGUAACUUAAGAGCCAAAUUUUUGUUUCAAUAAAAAUAGUUCCAAAUUCAAAAAUAAAAAUUUUUGUUUAUAAAAAUUUACCUUUUGUUGAUAAAAAAAAGUCGAAUAUAUUCAACAUAUACCUCAUUGGAAAGCUGAGAAAAAAUCGUAAACAUUAGGCCGACUAGAUAUUUUUGUAAGGAAAUGCUUUUCUUCGUAUACGCAAAUGUUAAAAGAAGCUAUGAAUUCAAUGACAUUUAGGAGACGAACAAUUUAACUACAUAAAUGCACUUUCAAAUGCAUUUCGAGUUUUAAAACCAGAAAUAUAAUUAGAGCCAAGAGGCGACCAGCCUCUUUAGAAACCAAACUGAUUUUUAGAACCAAAACUGCUGAUACUAGUGGGAGCCAAGUCCGGUAGGAAUGAACUUCGUAUCUAAAUUAAUGAGCUACAGAAUACAUGAAGUUCUUUGCAGAGCAAUCUGUUUUAAUUCCAAUCAAACAGAAACGCGGAAGUCAUUAUAGUUGAUGUACGGGAGGAUCAUAUGGACAUAUUUCAUUAAUUUUUAGCACCAUUGCGCCAUGUUUAAUGAAAGAGAGGGAUGAAAAUCGUUAAGGAUAUGGAGGUUAAAAUAGAGUAUAUGUACGGAUCUUAUUAUUUUUUUUACGUCAAGUCACAUUUUAGUCAGAUACAGUAACCGAUGUACAUGAUAUAAAGUUGAAAAUGCAUCUAUUGGGUAUAACUUGGAAACUGUGGACUGAUUUCUACCUAAUUUUAUUAAGAUAUUAUCCACGUAAUUGUUUAUAUACCCGCCUAUGUUAACUAUUUACAAAACAAAAAAAAGAACAAAAGUCAUUGUAGAAUGAUGGUGCUGCGGUAAACAGCCGAUUUCACUAAUUUCUCAGCAGAAAAAUAUGCCAGUACAUUAAAAUAUUUUAAAAUUGACAAAUUUUUCCGGUACAAAGUUACCCUUAGGCACUGAGAGAAACAUAUUCGGUAUCUGGGGCUUUGAAAAGGUAUAGCCUAAUUUCAGCCCCUUUGUUAUGCGAGUUAGUCGGCCCCACUACGUCGCUUACUCCAUCACUCAUUCUGACUGAACAAUUGAACUGAAACAAUUGAAAUUAAUUAAUAAUUAAAAGUAUCGUUUUC